rnacentral:tRNA from 1 species
UUUAUUAAUUAGUCGAAGCCAAAAUAGAGGCUUA